CGUACAGUGGCUUAGUGGUUAGAACGUUUGCCUCACACCUAAGGGGGUCGGGGGUUGGAUUCCUGCCGGGGCCA